UUCCGGUUGAUCCUGCCGGAGGUUACUGCUAUCGGUGUUCGACUAAGCCAUGCGAGUCAAAUGUUCUUCGUGAACAUGGCGGACUGCUCAGUAACACGUGGAUAACCUGCCCUUAGGUUCGGCAUAACUCCGGGAAACUGGAGAUAAUUCCGAAUAGGUCAAAUAUGCUGGAAUGCUUUUUGGCCAAAAGACUUCGGUUGCCUAAGGAUGGAUCUGCGGUCUAUCAGGUUGUAGUGGGUGUAACGUACCUACUAGCCUACGACGGAUAUGGGUUGUGAGAGCAAGAGCCCAGAGAUGGAUUCUGAGACAUGAAUCCAGGCCCUACGGGGCGCAGCAGGCGCGAAAACUUUACAAUGCGGGAAACCGCGAUAAGGGGACACCGAGUGCCAGCAUUUAUGUUGGCUGUCCACAUGUGUAAACGGCAUGUGUUAGCAAGGGCCGGGCAAGACCGGUGCCAGCCGCCGCGGUAACACCGGCGGCCCGAGUGGUAAUCACUUUUAUUGGGUCUAAAGGGUCCGUAGCCGGUUUGAUCAGUUCUUCGGGAAAUCUGACAGCUCAACUGUUAGGCUUCCGGGGAAUACUGUCAGACUUGGGACCGGGAGAGGUAAGAGGUACUACAGGGGUAGGAGUGAAAUCUUGUAAUCCCUGU
rnacentral:rRNA from 1 species